GGAAGGAACAAAAAAAUAUCAUUUGGACUCAAUCAGCCACUUUCAGCUCCGUGAACACGUCACUGCUGGGGCAGCACAAGGCUGAGGACAAGCAGCAAGGAAAAGACCAAAACCACCCUCUCAAACCCACGUGUCAUCUUCUGUGGCAGUUCCAGUUAGUGCCUUUUUUCAGUCCAUAUUUUGACAAGAUGAAGCCAGCAUACCAAGGAGCAGACAAAUCUAUUUAAUACAGAGGAGCUUCAGAUGAGCAUUUAUCACCCCCAGGACAAUGACCAGCUGUUGUUCAACUCUGCCAUGGAGAAUUGUUUCACUGCUGGAAUAAACAACACAUGAGCAGUUUAGCAUCCUAACUGGAAAAUCCUCAGAACUUAAAGAAAGCACAGAUUAUGGACAGAAUAUCAUAUUACAAGCACACAAUUCCUGCCCUCAGUGACUGGCAAUACUUUCCAGAGGCUGGGCAGAUGCUUUUGAACAGCAAGAAGCAGUUUUGGUCAUACUGAAUUCUCCUUGUGUUCUCCUUCAACACAUACCCACUAUGUCUUCAAAUACAAUUCAGCCAAUAAAAAUAUGACUUCAAAUACCAUUUCCUUAAUGAAACAAUAUUUGAUAAUCUGGAGAGUUUUGUAUUAGCCUAAUUAGAUCCAUCAGACAUGUGCCCUGGUGCACAGAACAGGAAAACAGACUUAAAUUCAUUAUCUCUUCUGAGAAAUAAAGCCUGACAAGCACGCAGUACUAGUGAAAAACAACAAUUGGUAAAACCCACUGGAAGAAAAAAAAGAACACAUUUAAUUCUCAGAAAUAAAGCAUUACUUGUCAACCAUCACAGAAGAGC